ensembl:lncRNA
AAACGAUGCGCCGUAGAGCGAAAAAAGCAGCAGAGCAAUUUUGUUCGGGCUAACCCAAGGAUUGCAACGAUGCCAUGUUUUUGAGUCUACGACAAACGGUUUACGAGCUACAGCCAAAAAUGUCUGAAAUUUUUGUUUUUUGCGCUGUAGCGCCCCCGUUUAGGCCGAUUGGGGUCGAGACUUUGAUAGGUUCUCCCCAAAUUGAGCUCUACGAUCUGGCCAAGUUUCAAGUCUCUAGGCCUUACGGUUUGGGCUGCACGGUCAAUUUUACGGAAAAACGGUGCGUCGUAGAGUACAAAAAGGCGCAGAGCAAUUUUGUUCAUACUAACCCAAGGAUAGCAACGAUGUAAAGUUUUUGAGUCUACGUCAAACGGUUUACGAGCUACGGCCAAAAAUGUCUGAAAAUUUUGUUUUUUGCGCUGUAGCGCCCCCGUUAGGCCGAUUGGGCUGAAACUUUGAUAGGUUCUCCCCAAAUUGAGCUCUACAAUCUGGCCAAAUUUCAAGUCUCUAGGCCUUACGGUUUGGUCUGCACGAUCAGUUUUAGGGCAGAAGAAUAAUAAUAAUAAUAAUAAUAAUAAUAAUAAUAAUAAUAAUAAUAAUAAUAAUAAAAAUCCUAACAAUUACAAUAGGGUUUCAGCACUGCGUGCUUGAACCCCUAAUAAUAAUAAUUGCAUUUAAACUGUAGUUAACAUGCAGUUAAUUGUCUGAAAACAUUACAUUCAGUUCACACUUAAGUAUGUUCUUUUAAAGUAUAUUGUUCCCAUAAUAAGUACACAUUUCUUUUAAAAUAUGCUAAAGUGUACUUGUUACUACUCGUUACUAAGAGAACAAUAUUCUGGUCAUUGUGUAAAACAAUAAAUCUCUGUUGGUCAGUUGAAUGCAAGCAAUUAAAUUAGAUUUUUAUUGGAUUUAUGAAGUCUUACCUGAAUGAAUAACACAGUAGCUGUCUUGGGAUUCAGUGUGCUAUCUCUCUCUCUUUCUCUCUCUCUCUCUCUCACUCACUCUCUCUAUCUCGGUGUGUGUGUGUGUGUGUGUGUGUGUGUGUGUGUGUGUGUGUGCGUGUGCGUGUGUGUGUGUGUGUGCAUGUGCGGGCAUUUGCUGAGUGAGUGAGAGGAGCGUGUGGUGAGUGCGAUUUCUUUCUCACAUUUCUUGAGUUGCUUUAUCUAUUUAUUUGUUAAUGUUUUUUGUAGUGAUGGUGAAAUGAAGCUUUGCAAAGCACAGAGGCUUUCCCCUUAACUGUAUCAUAAAAUGGUUCAUCACGCGAAGCUUUUCAACACGUUGCUCACUAUUGACAUCUUGUGGUCAAAAGUGGAAAAGGGUGCCUUUGCGUCUCAGCCAUUUUUGGACUGUUUCAUAAAAAUUAUUAAAAUCAUUGCACUUACGCAAAGUAUGAAUAAAUGAGUCUGUGAAUAAAUUAAUGAAAAAAUAAGCAUGGAUCAUGUAGGCUUAUAUGAUCUACAUGAAUGAAGAUUAUUGUGAAUGGUCUGUUGAAGAGCCUUGUGGAGAGGGGAUUAAUACAAUCUAAACAUGCACAAAACUACAUAUGUAAAUAUUUACUCUUAUUAUGAUUUAUUCUUAUCAAAGAAGUGAAUGACACUUGAAAUGUGCAAUGGGUUGGCAUUACUUGAAUCAGAAUAUGUAGCAGUCAUGUGGUUGUGUACGAAAACAAAGAUUUGGAUGUCACAGAUCACGUGUUUAUGACCAAACGAAUCAAGCUCCAGUUUAGUGCUUAACUAUGAGAUGUUUUUAUUUUAUUGAUUUAUGUUUUGUGUGUGAUACAAGCUUCAGAACCUCAUGCCUUAACGCCUCAUCACUAUUUUUUUUUUUUUGAGUGUGUGUGUGUGUGUGUUAUUUGCAGUGGUGUAAUGUAAUGGAGUAAUAAUACUUUACUUUACUUAAGUUUUUAAUAUGUCAGCCAACUUUUACUUUUACUCCACUACAUUUCCUAAUUAAAAUGUAUACUUUUACUCUGAUACAUUUCCCCGAAGCAUAUUUGUUACUUACUAAAAAACAAAGUCAGAAGAACACAGACGGCAAGAAAGUAGAUUUGACGAAUCAUUGGUCUGGCGCUUGUAAUUUAGACACCUAAAAAACACCUUUGCUCAUCUGCAAACAAUUCCAUGCACAACUAAUUUUGAGCCAUUUGACAGAUUCUAAGACUGCUUCACAAUUUUCACAUAUACGCAAACCUAACUCCAAAAUGAGACGAUAUCAAUCAGCUUCAGCCCUGCGUGUAUUAGAAAGCAUCAGAUAAAUAACUAGUUGGCAUGUUUUUUUUUCUUUCUGUGUGGUGGCAUGUAAACUUCUGCAUGUGAAGGCCUUUCUAUAGUUCAGUUGUGUUUUAUGUUUGUCCUGUUAAAAGACUUUCUCACUGAAAUUCCUCCACAACUUGUAAUAUUCUUAAUCAAUAUUCAGAGUUCGAAGGUUAUAAAUACUAUGUUUUCUGUGAAAAUUUAGAUUUCUGUGAAAAUUUUUGGAUCAUUUAUGUGCUGGUCAUUGCAUGCCUGUCUGUGAUGUACUGUUGUGCUACAUUUAUUCUUGUGCAAAGGUUUUUAUUAACCAAAUGCCUUUGAGAGGUUCAAUAGCUAGCAUAAGUUUAAUUAGCUAGUAAGGCAUUGUUGCAUCAGAGGUGUUGCGUCGGGCUCUUCGCUGGAACAUGCCCACUCUUCAGCAUCCAAAGCAGUCAAUGACUUGGAGUCUUCAAUGACAACUUCCUCUUCAGAUGCGCCGAAGGAAAUCAAGCCACCGCAGUCAACGAUGGGUGCUGAUCCUCACGUGUGAAGCACACAGGGGAAUAGAGGCAUUGGGGGGCGGAUGAAGAACACGGGAGCUGUGCUGGUAUGAGCUCACUUAAGCCCGGUGUUAGAGCCCUGCUGCUCCACUGUUUCUUUCUACUAGGAGAGAGAGGAAAUGGGAGAGCAGAGAGGGGAGGACCGCCUUCAUUAAAGAAUGUGAUCCGCGAGUGGAGAAGUGUGAGACUCUCAGUGACCACACUCACUGUGCCCAUCUGUACACGGCAGCCAGCAUCAGGCAGAGCUGAGCUUCUUCUUCUUUCUUGCAGAGUCAGUGAAGAGAUGAUCUUCAUUGCUGAAGGAGAAAAAUUCUGAUGAAAUGAUGCUCAGAGCCGACUUACUGUAUGUAGAGGUCAGCUCCCCUUUUGGCAGGUCGAAGCACCAUUGGAUCGUUCAGCUACACAAACGUGAACAAAUCAGGCUUCAGUAUCAGAGUAAACAGGAGUUUCCGCAUAAGCAUGUUAACGCAACGGGAGAGACCUUUCGAAAGGGAACCAAGGCAUAAUUUAUUUCUCACACCAUGGCUCAUUAAACAACAUUGAUUAACUCAAAAUAUAACUUGUUCAAAUCACUUUGUGAAUGUGUUGAAGUUAUGUUUUUAGUUCAAAAAGAGGGCUCCCAUUCCUGAGUUAAGUCCAGAGAGGACUCAUGUUCCUGAGUUCAGCCCUGAAAGCCCGGAGGCUCACAAAUGCCGGCCCUUCCACCCGCUCCUGCCUCCUGCUUUGCUGUCGUCAGGCAGCCCCUCUGCUCUUCCUCAGACCACUAACAGCACGGUGCGAGCUCCGC